rnacentral:lncRNA from 1 species
UAGUAGUUUUAAUAAUAAAUGGUUCAGUUAGACGAUCCUCAUGUUUGUUUGAAUGUUGGUGAUUUGGCUUCAGUGAAUCUGUGAUGUUUUUCUUAUGCAUGUGAUUUUAGAUUGUGGAUUUGUGGAUAUGGUUUUAUAGAUAUUCAGUUUAUGCAUUUAUGUCCUUAUGUAUUGUGGUUUUCUACCCCUCGAGGUAGUCGGUUUUCAAAAUAGAGUUUUCGAGUGGGGAAACAGUUUUAAAAAGAUUUUCAAAUGGUUUUCAUGAAUGAAUGAAUUAGAGUUUAAAAACAAAAGCUUCCGUGUGGGGAGCAUUUUUAAAUAGGAUGUUUGUUGUAUUGUGCAUUGCAUCAUUCAGCGCCUAAGGAGUGCUUAGAGGCAUCCAUCUUCUCUAAGGAUCGUUAGCUGUAUAAAAAUGCAUAUCAUGAAUUGGUUGUUGAUUGGUAAAUGUAGGUUGUGGUUGAGAUCCUGUUGUAUAGUUGGUACGCCGUGCAAAUACAAAAGAG